rnacentral:rRNA from 1 species
CCCUUAGAUGUUCUGGGCUGCACGCGCGCUACACUGAUGCGCUCAACGAGUUUACGACCUUGCCCGGAAGGGUUGGGUAAUCUUUUUAAAACGCAUCGUGAUGGGGAUAGAUUAUUGCAAUUAUUAGUCUUGAACGAGGAAUUCCUAGUAAGCACAAGUCAUCAGCUUGUGUUGAUUACGUCCCUGCCCUUUGUACACACCGCCCGUCGCUCCUACCGAUUGAAUGUUCCGGUGAGCUCUUCGGACUGCGCGGUCUGCAGUUUCUGCGUUCCGUGCGGAAAGUUGCGCAAACCUUAACAUUUAGAGGAAGGAGAAGUCGUAACA